rnacentral:rRNA from 1 species
AUUGAACGCUGGCGGCAGGCCUAACACAUGCCAGUCGAGCGGAUGAAGGGAGCUUGCUCCUGGAUUCAGCGGCGGACGGGUGAGUAAUGCCUAGGAAUCUGCCUGGUAGUGGGGGAUAACGUCCGGAAACGGGCGCUAAUACCGAAUACGUCCUGAGGGAGAAAGUGGGGGAUCUUCGGACCUCACGCUAUCAGAUGAGCCUAGGUCGGAUUAGCUAGUUGGUGGGGUAAAGGCCUACCAAGGCGACGAUCCGUAACUGGUCUGAGAGGAUGAUCAGUCACACUGGAACUGAGACACGGUCCAGACUCCUACGGGAGGCAGCAGUGGGGAAUAUUGGACAAUGGGCGAAAGCCUGAUCCAGCCAUGCCGCGUGUGUGAAGAAGGUCUUCGGAUUGUAAAGCACUUUAAGUUGGGAGGAAGGGCAGUAAGUUAAUACCUUGCUGUUUUGACGUUACCAACAGAAUAAGCACCGGCUAACUUCGUG